rnacentral:lncRNA from 1 species
AACAAAAUUCUAAUUCUAAUAAAAUAUUAAUUAAACUCUAAUUAGACCAUAACAAUACUAAGCAAGUUUUAAUCAAAUUCAAAGAAAUCUCAAAAGAAUUACAAAGAAACAAUAAAUUUUUUUAAAGAAAUAUUAGAAUGAUCACAAAUAUAUCUCAAAUACAUCUUAAUUCAAUCUUAAUUUAAUCCUAGUUAAAAUCCUAUUUAAUCUUAAUAAAAUCCUAUUGAACUUCAUUCAAACUUUAGGCCAAAAAUUAAUUAAAUUUUUAAAUUUAAACAAACUCAAAUAAAAUCUUAAAUCCUAAAUCGAACCCUAAUCAAAUCCUAAAUCCUAAAUCAAAUCCUCACCAAUUCUAAAUCAAAUCGUUACCAAUUCUAAAUCAAAUCCUCACCAAUUCUAAAUCAAAUCCUAACCAAAUCCUAACCAAACCCUAAAUCCUAAAUCAAAUCUUAAUCAAAUCCUAAUCGAAUCCUAAUCCUAAAUCAAAUCUUAACCAAUGCUAAACCAAACCCUAAAUCCUAAACUAAAUCCUAACUAAAUCUUAACUCUUAAUCAAAUCUUAACCAAAAUCUAACCAAAUCCUAAUCCUAAAUCAAAUCCUAAAUCCUAAACCAAAUCCUAAUCUUAAAUCAAACCCUAACCAAAUUCUAACCUUAAAUCAAAUCCUAACCAAACUCUAAUUCUAAAUCAAAUCCUACCCAAAUUCUAAUACUAAAUCAAAUCCUAAUCAAAUCUUAAUCCUAAAUCAAACCUUAACCAAAUCCUAAACCUAAAUCAAAUCCUAAUCAAAUCCUAAACCAAAUCCUAAAUCCUAAAUCAAAUCCUAGUAAUU